CCCUUAGAUGUCCGGGGCCGCACGCGCGCUACAAUGGAUGAAUCAACGCGUCAUCCUGGCCCGAAAGGGUUGGGGAACCGCUGAACCUCAUCCGUGGUUGGGAUUGGGGUUUGUAAUUAUUCCCCAUGAACUAGGAAUUCCCAGUAAGCGCGAGUCAUAAGCUCGCGUUGAUUACGUCCCUGCCCUUUGUACACACCGCCCGUCGCUACUACCGAUUGGAUGGUUUAGUGAGAUCCUCGGAUUGGUCACGGCACGGUGGCAACACUGCGUCGGUGUGCCGAGAAGACGAUCAAACUUGAUCAUCUAGAGGAAGUAAAAGUCGUAAC
rnacentral:rRNA from 1 species